AAAUUAAAAAAUUUGGCGGUAUUUUAGUCUUUUCAGAGGAACCUGUUCUGUAAUUGAUAGUCCACGUUUAAUUGUACUUGUUUUAUAAAUUUAUAUAUCGUCGUUGUUUGAAUAUUUUAAAAGAAUCUAUAAUAUUCAUGUUUUUUUAUAAUAAAGGAAAUCAGAUCAAGGUGUAGUUUAUAAACGAGAAGAAAUGGGUUACAAUAAAAGUAUUUUUGGAUUAUUAGAAUGAGAUUUUUUUAUGAAAUUGGAUUUGAAAGUAAUUUUUUAUAUUUUUAAAAGAUGAUUUUAGCUCUAAAAUAUGCACAUAUUGCCCGUCGCUUUUGUUUUUAAAAUGAAAUAAGUCGUAACAAAGUAGAUUUACUGGAAAGUGAAUCUGGAAGA
rnacentral:rRNA from 1 species